UACGUAGGGUGCGAGCGUUAAUCGGAAUUACUGGGCGUAAAGCGUGCGCAGGCGGUUCGUUAAGUUCGAUGUGAAAGCCCCGGGCUCAACCUGGGAACUGCAUUGGAAACUGGCGAGCUUGAAUGCGGCAGAGGGGGGUGGAAUUCCGCGUGUAGCAGUGAAAUUCGUAGAUAUUCGCAAGAACACCAGUGGCGAAGGCGGCUCACUGGCUCGAUACUGACGCUGAGGUGCGAAAGCGUGGGGAGCAAACAGG
rnacentral:rRNA from 1 species